UUUCUAUUCACCCAAUCGUAUCAAUGGAGAGGGAGAUUCAAACUCAUUUCUGACCUUAUUUGGUCAACUUGUACCUUCCCUCUUCCACCUCUUCCACUGGGAUUGGCAGAUGAGUCAUAUUGACAGGAUCGUUCAUAGCAUAUCCUUCCUCAGAACUCCGGAUCUGGAUUUUACAAUUAUCAGUAGUUUAAUCAUUGUUUCCUCUCUCAAGGCGUCGUUUAUGGCUUAUCUAUCACAAAAUCAUUUCCUUUCCCCAUCUACCCAGAAAAGGUUACUUAAGGUUAAAUUUUCCCAAUUGAAUUUGUUAGUUCUUUUACGAUUUAAAGUAUAAUUAUUAAGUUUAACAAACUUUCAAAAGCAAU
rnacentral:lncRNA from 1 species